UACGUAGGGUGCUAGCGUUGUCCGGAUUUAUUGGGCGUAAAGAGCGUGUAGGCGGUCUGGUAGGUCCGUUGUGAAAACUCGAGGCUCAACCUCGAGACGCCGAUGGAAACCAUCAGACUAGAGUCCGGAAGAGGAGAGUGGAAUUCCCGGUGUAGUGGUGAAAUGCGUAGAGAUCGGGAGGAACACCUGUGGCGAAGGCGGCUCUCUGGGACGGUACUGACACUGAGACGCGAAAGCGUGGGGAGCGAACAGG
rnacentral:rRNA from 1 species